rnacentral:rRNA from 1 species
UGGGGAAUCUUGGACAAUGGGCGCAAGCCUGACCCAGCAACGCCGCGUGAAGGAUGAAGUAUUUCGGUAUGUAAACUUCGAAAGAAUAGGAAGAAUAAAUGACGGUACUAUUUAUAAGGUCCGGCUAACUACGUGCCAGCAGCCGCGGUAAUACGUAGGGACCAAGCGUUGUUCGGAUUUACUGGGCGUAAAGGGCGCGUAGGCGGCAAUUCAAGUCAUCUGUGAAAUCUCCGGGCUUAACUCGGAACGGUCAGAUGAUACUGCUUUGCUAGAGUGCAGAAGGGGCAAUCGGAAUUCUUGGUGUAGCGGUGAAAUGCGUAGAUAUCAAGAGGAACACCUGAGGUGAAGACGGGUUGCUGGGCUGACACUGACGCUGAGGCGCGAAAGCCAGGGGAGCAAACGGGAUUAGAUACCCAUGUAGUCCCUGAGCGGGCUGGCAAGGCGCAU